rnacentral:rRNA from 1 species
UACGUAGGGUGCAAGCGUUAAUCGGAAUUACUGGGCGUAAAGCGUGCGCAGGCGGUUGUGCAAGACCGAUGUGAAAUCCCCGGGCUUAACCUGGGAAUGGCAUUGGUGACUGCACGGCUAGAGUGUGUCAGAGGGGGGUAGAAUUCCACGUGUAGCAGUGAAAUGCGUAGAGAUGUGGAGGAAUACCGAUGGCGAAGGCAGCCCCCUGGGAUAACACUGACGCUCAUGCACGAAAGCGUGGGAGCAAACAGG